AUAUUUUUAAAUCUUGGCGCGAGCAUGCAUUUAGGUUGUCAUGGUGACGCGCGCUCACACAACCGCACGUCAUGGCACUGCGCUGAACUCUGUCCAGACUGUGAAUGUGGUAUUAUCUUCGCGAUCUGUAGGCACUACGGAAACGAAAGGCGCAUAAUCAUAACUCAAAUAAUCUCCGCCUAAAUACAGAACGGUAUUUUCUGAUGACGGGCAAAAACUUAGCCUCAAAACGUAGCUGUCUGUCACACACAGCUUGUUGCAUGCUGAUCCAUACACGAGAGCCUAACGGAGAACAUUUAAGCUGUGCUCCUCACCUGAGCAGAAUUGAAGGUCGGUUGUUGCUGACUACAGAAAGAUUCUUAUAUGGAGGCAUGUAAAAGCAAGGAAAGUGAAACUUCAGCUAGACCUUGAGUUCAGUUUACAAUAUGAAGAUCCUGAUAUCAACAUCUGAUCUGAUCAACACCUGAUUUUCAUCUGAGCUGCAGAGUACCAACAUGUUACAAAUGAGAAUUUUCCCCACAAAUUCUUUGGACAACCGCACCACCACCUAUUUCAUUUGAUGACAAUUUUAAGGCAAACAGCAUCCAAAACUGACAAGACAGCAGAUACCCUGGCUAAUCUUUUGAAGGUUUAUGAUGAGCAGGAACUGCAUGAUGUCAGUUCAUGAUGGACCACUGUUAUCAGAGGUCUUUUGGUCUUGCUGCGUGAGCGUGACUGGGGAUUCUUUAGGACCACCCUGAUUAAUAAUCCUGAAGCGCUGACUGAAGAUGCUUUAUUGGCCCUGCAGUCACUGAGGGUCUCUGCUGUCCUGAAGAAUGAAUUGGACACCACCCACAGCACACUUCCAGACCUUUUUUGUCUUGUUUGGAUUUUAAUGUAUGCUCUUCACAUAGUAUAUAGUAAAGGACUUUGAACUUGUACAAAAAGUUUUGCUUGGCAUGGAUGAUAGAAAAUAGAAAGUCGAUUAGCAUAGAAUCCUUAAAGAAUGAGUUGAUGUAGAGCCUUUUUUUGUACUCAAUAAAGACUGUCACUGGGGUAGUAACUUCA